rnacentral:rRNA from 1 species
CAAGGCCACCCGCUGAA